GAUGAUGCGAAUUCCAAGUGUGGUCGUACCAUAGCUGUAUACAGUUUUAAAUAGAUGGCUGGAGUGCGGCUAACAAAAGUCUUGCUGAGUGAUGCCAAGACACCCUCGGCCUUCACGACAAUUUUAGAGAUAUGCUUUGUCCAACGCAAAUCACUGCUGACAGUGAUGCCUAGGUCAUGAAAAACACACUCAGACUAAGUGAAAGUGGUGACCUAUAGAGUCAUCAAUUGACAUCUCAUCACCAUGACUGCUCUAUUUCCAUGAAAAAAUCCCUGCUACAUCUCAAUCCAUUUACUUAUAAAUAUAUCCCCCACAGAUACAUUUCACAACUUUAAUCAAUUGAUAGAAUUUUCCAUUCUCUUGUAAUUAUGGUUCCAUAUUCCUCCCUAGACUUUUAGACACCAACACUAAACUUUGCAAUGUGUCUGUCCUUCGAUGAUUUUCCAAAUACAAAGUCUUCAGGGAUCCCUUUUCUACUGUAGCGACUUAGAAUUGAAACCCUCAUUUUCUGCUGUCAGGUCAGUACCAUGUGCAGACCACACUCAUGUCAUGUGGUUUGUUUUGAUUAUCAACUAAUUGGUUUGCAGCAAUACCAUGCCAUAUCAUGAACAUCAUCUACAAUGUCUUCGAAGUGCCCCCACAAUUUUUAGUGUAUUAAGACGAAAGCCCAACUAAGAUCAACAGCAGAGGUUGAAAGAGCUACCGGAGAACACACAUCCUCAUCUCUCACCUAAUUCAAGCCAAUGAGAGAGAAUGGCUUACUAACAUAGCAGAAACAACAUCGAGUUUUUCUUUGCCUAAUUUCAGCCCAGAGUAUAAAGGACUUCUUAAAUAAUGACGAGCCAACUCUUUCCUAUCUCUCGAGCCUUACCAAUCAUUGCUGUGGAUAAUAAUUACACCGAAGUUUGAUCCUAACCUCCAACAUCUCUACCUGCCAGCAUUAGAAAUCUAUGUAAGUACAAUGAACUUUACAAUAAACAGAUUUUAUUAUGUUUGCCUUUGUCAUGCUUGGAUAAAGACGGACAAAAUGUCGCUAAGUAUUUUGUCCGACGUGCUAACGAUUCUGCCAAUACGUUGCCGAAGCAAUAGCAAAUAUUAACAAUAUUUCUAAGGUCUACCAGGUUUCAAACUGAGAAUUGAAUCAGUUACCAGAGAAGUUGAUUUUGACGUUUGUUACCUUUUGCCGAUGAAAAAGGCUACAACAACACAUUUCAUUCGCCGAUUAAGUUUCGUAUAAAAACAUUGUGAAUUGGUCACUUGGUACACAGAGAAUAAAUAAUUUACAAACCUUUACUGAUGAUAAUAUUUAGACGGUCUGACUUAUGUCAUCAUGUUCAAUUCUUGGCACAUGUGGCUGUUCAUCCCAUCCGUGACUUUGCCUGUUAUAAUUUAAGACAGUUCGGUCUGGGCACCGUGAAGUCUUGGAAGUCUUGAAGGAAAAGAGAAAGCAAAUAAAAAAAGUAAAUAAAAAUACAGAAAGAAAGAAAGAGAAGAGAGAAAAGGAAUAAAAAAGAAAUAAAUAGAAUAACAAAAUAGGGAAAGACUUCCGCCCCCACCCCCAUUUUCUCCCAAAUUUGUUUAUUUUUUAAAUAUUUUUUCUCAAAAAUCCCCGUUUUCGGACACACAGGCUCCGGAAAAUUUCCAAAAAUCGACAUUGUGAAAUACCCCCCCCCUUCCCCCAACUUCUUCAAUUUUGACUUUUUUCCUCCAACACUAACCCUAAAACCCUGACCCUAACCGUAAAAACCUAAAACCCUAACCCGUAACCGUAAGUACAGAAAUGUUUUGAAAUUUUUGUCCGAAUCAUAAUCUCCGUAUUUUUCCGCAUAUUUUAAAAAAAAAAAAAAAUUCUGAAAAAAAUUUUCAAUGAAGGAAAUGGAGGUGGGGGAUUUAGAAAUGCCGAUUUUUAACCAAUUAUUUUUGCAGAUUCGUAUUCCCCGUAACCGAAAAGAUGGGGUUUCUGUCGAAAAACAAAACAAAAAAAUUUUUUAAGAGUGUUAUUUUGGUGGGUGGACGGGUGGAAGUCUUGCCCCAAAUCUCCACUACGACACAUUCACUCGUCAAUCACUCAUAAAAUCUUAAUUCAGUUCUACAAGAAGUAACACUAGAGACUACCCGACAUUUACAGACUGAGGGUACAGCCUCCACUUUUUAUAAAAUUCCUUUUGCUUCCAUUGUAUGAUCUGUUUUCUUUUUUUUCAAAUAGAUAUCUGUCGUGUACAAAGUAUUUAAAAUGUUUGAAGCUGAGCGUGGUUUUUGACAAUCAGCGGCAAUCUUUCGUCUCUAGUAGACUUUUCCGUCGAUUUCCGUAAAAAAAAAUUUUUUUUUUUACAUAUGGGCUUGCGGGAACUUUUGAAGUAACAUACAUACAUAAACACAUACACCGAGUAAAAAAUUUCAGUUAUCUCUCUCUUUCACACAUUACUCUCUCUGUCUCUUCACACACACUAACAGAAGCACUUCACUUACACAACAUACUUUCUGUCUCCCACACCCCAUCAAACACACACACAUGUACAUCAAUGCUUGCCAUGCACGGUAACUUCAAAAGAACUUCCCUCGUCAUAAAAUCGCUUUCUCUUAGUCUCUUUCGCUCUCAUUACUUCAAAAGUUCCCGCAAGCCCAUAUGUAAAAAAAUAAAAGUUUUUUACGGAAAUCGACGGAAAGGUCUACUAGAGACGAAAGAUUGCCCAAUCUCAGCUUUUAUAUAUAAAAAAAUUUUGCUAAUAAUAUUAGCAAGUCAAAGGUGCCAUCAGAAAAUGUGUUUCUUCUCAACCUGAACAGAAUAAUCUGUGGGUCAAGUUUUAUGUUGCGAACAUGUGUGCACUUUUCAUACAGCAAAUUUAUGAAGCAUUGCCAGAAGGCCUGUACUCAUUCACAAUACCAGAAAAGGUGUCAUACCGUCUCCACCUGGCCUUGACCAAAAGUGCACAGGUUGCUUUCGGCCAAUUUAAUCUUGAAUAGUGGAGAAUUCGUUGCCAGAAUAUUGUGCAUAAUUCUGAAUUGGAACCAUCGCAGUUUAGUAUCUGUUGUCUUUAUAGGAAGCAGACACUCGUCCCAUUUGUGUUUGAAUAUUAAACAAGCAUCAACAUUGUUUAAAACAUAGUAGUAUCGUCUGGGGGUACUAUGUGAGAACAGUGGUCCCGGUGCGCGCACUCGCGUAGUCGCGCUAGCUAGUCGUAACUAGUCGAUCCUACAACGACUACCUAGCAAAGUAAAUAAAACACAAAAUAAAUAAUUCUUUUACACAAAGUAAAUAACACAAAAACACAAACUAAGGAUCGACCAGUCAUGACUAGUUAGCGCGGAUGCGCGAGUACGCGCACCGGGACCACUGUUCUCAAGUAGUACCACAACAUUGUCUAAAACAUAGUAAUAUCGUUCGACUCCUUUCUUAACAGACAUGAGCCUUUCGGAUAGUUGUAUUAACCUCUAAAUGUUGGAGAACAGUAGAUUUGCUUAUUUUAAACUUUGUUUCGUAGCUUUUAAAUGGCCCUAUUAAAUCCAUUAUACUGGAGAAAAUUUGUAUCUGGUUCUAAAAAAUUCUGGAAUUCUUCCAGGGUGCGGCAAGAUCCAUCUAAAUUGAUAAAGUCACGAAUCUGGCUAACACUUCUCUCAAACCACGCAGGAAAAACCAUUGCCUCUUCACUGACACUUAAGUGUUUAAUAAAGUAAAUUGGUUCUGUUAUGAAUUCCUCAAAUGAAUUAGGCUCUGUGUUAUUUGUAAACUUGUCAAAGGCAGAAAUACAAUCUUACCAAAAAUCAUUCCUGAUAGAGUUAGCGAGUUUGCUCGGAGAAACGUUACCAAAUACAGCUAAAUUUUUCAGUUUUGUGGAGGAGGCAUUGCAUAAUUGUUUCCAUUCGGAUUCAUAGUGAAUGUCCAGCAACUUUCUCGUCCAGAAUAGCUUUAAAGAGCUGACGUAAGCGAAAACUUCGAUCAUACCAAGUCCACCAUCUUCAACAGGCUUACAAGCAACAACUCUCUUAAGCUUAUCAGGUUUUCCACUCCAGAGAAAUUGAAAUAAUAUUUUGUUUAGUUUCUGUAGAAAUUUACUCGGUGGAUUUGGGAGAGUUAGGAAGAGAGUUCAAUUUUGAGAUGAGUAGUGGUUUUAUAACCGCAAUUCUACUCGGUGGUGUAAUUAUUCUUUUCAUCCAUCUAUUUAUUAUUACCUGAAUUUCAAAUAAUUUAUUUUCAAAAUUCUUUUUGGCCACAUCCUUUAAAACUAUUGAGAAUAUUAAACCGAGAAGCUUGAAGUGCUUUGGGUUCCAUUUUAUAUUUAAACUAGCAGUAUCGCCCGGCGUUGCUCGGGUUUGUAAGGGAAAUUACUAUAUAAGCAUUUUUAGAGAGUUAUAGCCAAAAAAUGCAUUAAAAAUGGGAAAAAAAAUGAUGAUAAAUGUUGUUUUUAAAUCGUUGACUCAUCGUAGACAUUUUUAGAGAGUUACUUCCCUUAUAUAAUAGCGGAAAAUGCAUUAAAAAGGAAAAAAAUGAUGGUAAAUUUUUUUUAAAUCGUAGACUCAUCGUAGACGCGCGCUAAUACCCAGAAGGGCUCGAUAUGAAUCACGACUAUAAGAUACCCGGUUUUGGUUAAACUGCACCGCAAAAUGUGGGAGUAGUUAGGAAUCAUAAUCGUAGGAGACAGACACACAACCUUACUUUUAUAUAUAAAGAUUAGUUAAGUAUCUGACUGAACUACCCCUUCUUGAACCUAUCCAUAUCACCUGAGACUUAUCAUAGUUAAUUUUAAGUCCGGAUAUAUCAGCGAAAAAAUCAAGGUGUCAACUGUAGCUUCAAAAAACUCUCGCGAACUGUCUAAAAUGAACUCUGUAUCGUCUGUAUAUUGCGCCAACAGAUACUCCCCAUCACAAACUGUAAUUCCUUUAAUAUCUCGAUUUUUUCUUAUAAGACCAGCCAGGACCCCAACGCAGAGAAUAAAAAGAUAUGGAGAGAGAGAAGACCACCCUGUCUACAGCGCAACUCAACAGGGAACCAAAGAGACAAAGUACCGUUAAUUGUCAAGCAAGAUCUAUCACCACUGGACAGAAUAUUGAACCACUUACGGAUGUCAUAACCAAAAGAAGAAAAAAAGAUAAUGUCUUGUUUAUAAAUGGCCAUGAGACAGAAUCAAAGGCCUUCUGAAAAUCUAUUAAAAACAACAUUCCUGCUAUGUCAUUUGAUUCUGUGUCGUUCAUAUCAGAUCAUCGAGCAAUCUUACGUUGUCCCCCAACAUCCAUGAUUUUUCAAUAGAGAUUAUUAUUUUGUGACCCAUCACUGACAUAAUUUUAAGUUAGCGAAUGAGUAGCAAUGGUGAAAAUUGUACUUAAUUUUUUUUUUCUCCAUUUCUUGGUACUACUAGCGAACAGUGGUCCCGGGGCGCGCAUCCGCGCCUAUGUUUGUAUUUCAAGGCUGAAUUACAUAGCAAAAGAAAUUAAAGAAUAUUUUUCGAACAAAGUAAAUAAAACGCAAAGUAAAUAAUUUUUUAAACUGAGUAAACAAAUUAUUUUUAUAAACAAACUAAGGUUAGGUUUAGGUUUAGGGUUAAGGUUAAAAAGUCGUUGUAGGAUCGACUACUUAAGACUAGUUAGCGCGAGUGCGCGCACCGGGACCACUGUUCUCUUGUAGUACCCAUUUCUUUUUUGAAUUCCAGAUCUUAAAAUACGGGGAUUACAAUUGUGACAAAAAGAAAGAAAUCUUUUCAGAAUUUCAAUUGUUUUGAAGCCGGUUCCGUUCUCUCUUCAGAGUUUGGAACCUCCCCCCCCCCCCUCAACCCGUCCAACACCGACCAACUCGGUCUGUUCGUUUGCGCAUGCGUCAAAGCCAGCAGACGACACAAAGACACUCUUAAUAUAAGCUACUCGACAUACUAGAAAUAAAAGCCAAAUCUCCCACAAACAAUAUAUGUCAAACGUCUUAUAAAAUGAAAGACACUCUGAACUUAGUCCAGGAUAUACAAAAAUACGGAGAUUACGAUUCUGGAAAAAUAAAAAAAGAAACAUUUUUUUCAAAAUUUCAAAUUUUUAAAUCGUCCCAUUCCCCGACUUUCGGAAUAACAGCCCCGACCCGAAAGAAAU
rnacentral:lncRNA from 1 species